UUGCCAAAUUGUCUUAGGAGGUUCGGGUGACACGUGGAUACGAGGCAAUGGGACGUAGAGUGGUGGCGUGCAGCCCUUCUUUUGGACGUGCUAUGUAGAUAUGGACUUGUAGAUAGGAAGUUGCUCUUGGUGAACACUUUUGACAUGUAAAUAUGCGCAGCUCUGGGUGGUUCGCAAAGUAGAGAUCCUUGUAAAGUCUUCUGGUUUUGGCAUAUGUAAUAAAAUGGAAUUUGCUUCCGCUU